rnacentral:rRNA from 1 species
UACGUAGGGCGCAAGCGUUGUCCGGAAUUAUUGGGCGUAAAGAGCUCGUAGGCGGCUUGUCACGUCGGGUGUGAAAGCCCGGGGCUUAACCCCGGGUCUGCAUUCGAUACGGGCUGGCUAGAGUGUGGUAGGGGAGAUCGGAAUUCCUGGUGUAGCGGUGAAAUGCGCAGAUAUCAGGAGGAACACCGGUGGCGAAGGCGGAUCUCUGGGCCAGUACUGACGCUGAGGAGCGAAAGCGUGGGGAGCGAACAGG